CAGCAGCUGGUUGCGGUGCGGGUAGUGACCGACGACCCUGGUGAGGACGCGGAUGGCCACCUCCUCCGGCAGACAGGAGCCCAGCAGCGUCUGCUGGAGGUCUGGGAGGAGACGGCGCCCGGCAGGAACCAUCUGGCAGCAAUUCCCUCCAGGAUGCAGAACCCCGCUGGGACAAAAGGGUGACAAGGAGGAGGGGGACAAUGACACAGGUCACAACCCGCCACCAAAGCCACAUCAAAGGCAUCGGGGCUUUAUGGGGUUGGAGACACAUCUGUGGUGUGGAUGGAGACAUCCCCCCCUGCAGAAUACCCCUUAACUCUGCCGGUCCCUGGGUUUGGGCACUCACGCGGUGACGAAGUCGAGCACGGCGCUGGUG